GGGGGAUUAGCGAAGUGGCUAAACGCGACGGUCUGUAAAACCGUUCCUUCGGGUUCCUAGGUUCGAAUCCUAGAUCCCCCA
rfam:Lactobacillus thailandensis DSM 22698 = JCM 13996 strain DSM 22698 Scaffold1, whole genome shotgun sequence.